AGGAAACAUUUGUCGGUGAAUCUAAAUGUUCUCCUUUCUGGCCAGAGGUGUUUGAGUGUGUGUGAGAUGCUUGUUGUGGACACCUUGGGUUGACAGGUCUUUCCAUGGACACAGACAUCACUGAAGGUGACAUCAUAUAGUGCAGCUAACAGUGUUCAAAGGACUGCACUGCUGAACGGAUCUGCAAAGACCUGGAACAAAUAUGGGAAGUCUUGCACCCCAGCCUCUUCAACUCCACACCCCUGGUAUUAACCCAGGCACACAGGCCCAGUGGAUUAACAACAGCCUUCCCAGAACAGUGGUGUUUACUCGGGAACAAAACCAGCAGCUAUUGAACCUUUUUUCUCUCUUUUAUUCUAUUGGCGCAUAUCUGAAGUAUAGUUGAAGAGC
ensembl:lncRNA